UCGUUUCAUGAAGCCGAAGGGCACGAAACUGGUAGGAAGAAGAGGAGGAGGGGGAGAGGCAAAGUCGGGAAGGGAGGCAAGAUAUUUAUGCAUUUUCCCGAAAGACUGCACACGAGGAAGACGUGUCAUCUUGGAAUGUCGUGGGAGUGAAAUGUGAGAUCAAGGAUGACUAGCAACAACUACGCUAGUCCUUCACGUGCCAGCCCAGUGAUCCAGCAGUGGCGUGAUCUCGGCCUUCAUUUUUCAUAAUUUUGGUGCUGCAAUUACUGGAUUCUGGACAGAGUGCCUUGCCAGCCUGUCAUAUCAACACCACCAUCUUGCAUCAGGAAAUGGGUGCCAUGAAAAAGAGCCACCCAUUGCAAGGGUUUAUCAUCCUGCCUAUGAAUGCUGUCUGUCCUAUCCUUUGUCAUCCUAUGAAUGAGUGUGUUAGACUUGAUGUUAGCUAGCUGUGAUGCUGGUACAUAAGCUUCAAUGUUCAAAGUCCUAGACUCCACAACUUAAAUUUGUUUUUUUUUUUUUUUAAUAAAAAUUUUAUGCCAAUAAA